rnacentral:rRNA from 1 species
GACGAACGCUGGCGGCGUGCCUAACACAUGCAAGUCGAACGAGAUCCAUGGGAGCUUGCUCCCGGAAGAUCUAGUGGCGAACGGGGUGAGUAACACGUGAGAAACCUGCCCUGGAGUGGGGAAUAACUCGGGGAAACUCGAGCUAAUACCGCAUACCCUCGGAUGGUCGCAUGGCCGACCGAGGAAAGAUUUAUCGCUCUAGGAGGGUCUCGCGGCCUAUCAGCUAGUUGGUGGGUAACGGCCUACCAAGGCAACGACGGGUAGCUGGUUUGAGAGAACGAUCAGCCACACUGGGACUGAGACACGGCCCAGACUCCUACGGGAGGCAGCAGUGGGGAAUCUUGCGCAAUGGGCGAAAGCCUGACGCAGCAACGCCGCGUGC